UUAAAGUUGUUGCAGUUAAAAAGCUCGUAGUUGAACCUUGGGCCUGGCUGGCCGGUCCGCCUCACCGCGUGCACUGGUCCGGCCGGGCCUUUCCUCCUGGGGAGCCGCAUGCCCUUCACUGGGUGUGUCGGGGAACCAGGACUUUUACUUUGAAAAAAUUAGAGUGUUCAAAGCAGGCCUAUGCUCGAAUACAUUAGCAUGGAAUAAUG
rnacentral:rRNA from 1 species